UGGCUACUACGCCAUGCUGCGUCACGUCUAUGGCAGCAGGAGCGUGUAGUGUGGGUGCCCCACAACCCUCUCUCCUCAGUUCCUCGUCAAUACAGCCGCCGCGCCGCCGCGCCACCUCCCUUCUCCGGUCCUCCCUUCCCCCUCCCCCUGCAGCAGCUCUGCCGCCUCUUUCGAUGAGAUCCACCGUCUCCCGAGGUCCUUAUCCACCCCAGCUCGCGAGGAAGCCACGAAAGGAGGAGCUCAACCGGGCAUCGCCGGCCGGAGAAGGAGGAGAGGCGCGGAUGCCAGGCAGGGAGGCAGAUCGGCUCGCCUCCGCGGCAGCCAGGGAGGCGGAUCGGCUCGCCUCCGCGGCGUCUUGUGCGCCGCCGCCGCCUCUACAUCCACCUUUCUCCGCAUAGCAGCAUGUGUGCGGAAGCGGGGACAUGCGACCGCGAGCAGAUGGCGUCGGCGGCAACGGCAACACGCAUGGUGUGCAAAGUCCGAUAAGAUGGGCGUGGCCUCCCCGCAUGCGUUUCAGGAUGGCGUGCUCGACGGCUCGGAACGCGCCCGCACGGGCACAAGAGGUAUGCAUAGGAGCACGCCGACGGCAACGUGCACCGCGAGGUCGGCCAGAGCCCCUCCGUACUGGAGGAAACCUGCGACUCACCUCCACUCACAGGUCUAUGCCGAUUUCCACAAUAACACUGCCUCCAACUUUCUCAUUUCCCUAGCUCUGCAUACAAGGUCCAAGCUAGAUGUAUUCAGGCCGGGUUUCUGUGAUCCAAAAAAAAUCAUGUGGCACUAGCUUUUGUAUUACAUACAAAACUAAAUGUGGAGAAGUAUAUAUGUUCAUUAUUUGGUAAGUGAACUGAAUCACCUUGGUAUAAAAAUCCCAUUCGCUUUGGUCGGAGGCGCUGUAAUGAUUUGUAGGAAAGGAUUUUAUAUUUCCUAAAGCCUUUCUUUAAAAGAGACUGGUCGAUACAGCUCCACGUUGUGCUAUCUUGCUAUUGGGCUCUUUUUUCUUUUCUUAAAAUGGUUGGAUUUCUCUCAUGUUUAAUUCAUGGUUGAUUGCUUAUUUCCAAAAUAAUUAUGUUAGUACACUGAAGUUAAUUUCUACAUUGUUAGUGAAGUUGAAUUAUUUCCCUCGAUUUGUUCCUCAAAUGUUCUGAGAGAUGUUGCGUAUUAGGAAACCCCUUGGAUAGUCAAGGUGUUGUUUCAGCUGACUAAUAUAAAGUUAUAUUUCCAGCAGAAGAUCUUUGGAAUUGAGUUUUUGAUGAAAAAGUAGCAUAUGGAUGGAUGGACAUGAGCUAUCCAUUGUAGGUUCAAACAAUUCAUCCAUUCAUUGCAGGUUCAGCGUGUCUUAUUAUGUCUUUUUGCUUCAUAUUCAGGGUCGAACUGGGCUAUAUUUCUUUCAUUGAGUCAUGCAAAAAAAAAUCUUUCAUUGAGGCGAGGGUGAUUCUAGUGGGUGAGGUGAAUUUUAGACAUCCGGAUGUCUUGCUAUGUUCAGGUGCUACCAUGCCUGAAUUAAGAUUUCCCUUGUAGAUUUUGCAAGGCGUACUCGCCGUUUUUCUUGAAGUUGGGCAUUCGUCUUCUCUGCGGCAAGGAUCUGGGGAGUCGGAUUGUGGAUUACAUGUAGUGAGGAAGAAGAGAGGGGGAAGAGGAAGAGGACACCCUCAGUGGCGUGCUAUAUCUAACUAGGCGACAAUGUUGAGAGGGUGCCUGGCAUCAUGAACCCAACAUGCUUUUCCGGGAGUUUGUUGAGGUGAGCCACCUGGGCAGGUCUAUGCGUUGAGGUGGUUUGAUAAUUUGUUGUUCCUCUUUUUCCUGCAUCUUUUUUGGAAAUGAAUUUAUUAGUUGGAAAAUGGCAAUAUCGUUUACAAUACAUGAAACAAACUAUUUUUCCUACACCUCUUUGUUCUGUGUAAUGGUGCUCUUGGUUGAGUGUGCCGACGAAAGAGAUUCCAUGGUACAGGCUAGGUAGCUUCUCA